rnacentral:rRNA from 1 species
UACAGAGGCCUCAAGCGUUAGGCGGAAUCACUGGGCUUAAAGCGUGUGUAGGCGUACUUCUAAGUACCUUGUGAAAUCCCACGGCUUAACUGUGGAACUGCUUGGUAUACUGGUUGUCUUGAGCCACUCAGGGGCGAGCGGAACAAAUGGUGGAGCGGUGAAAUGCGUAGAUAUCAUUUGGAACGCCAAUGGUGAAAACAGCUCGCUGGGGGUGUGCUGACGCUGAGACACGAAAGCCAGGGGAGCGAACGGG